CCUGCCUUCAGGAUGGGGACAACAGACGGAAACGACUGCUAAUACCGAAUAAGUUCCAAGAGCCGCAUGGCCCAUGGAAGAAAAGGUGGCCUCUACCUGUAAGCUAUCGCCUGAAGAGGGGUUUGCGUCUGAUUAGCUGGUUGGAGGGGUAACGGCCCACCAAGGCGACGAUCAGUAGCCGGUCUGAGAGGAUGAACGGCCACACUGGAACUGAGACACGGUCCAGACUCCUACGGGAGGCAGCAUG
rnacentral:rRNA from 1 species